GGCCUGGCUGGGUGGUCUUGCUGCAAGGUAAGCACUGCUCUGGUCGGGUCUUUCCUUCUGGGGAACCAGUGUGCUCUUAGUUGAGUGCGCUGGGGAUCCAGGACUUUUACUUUGAAAAAAUUAGAGUGUUCAAAGCAGGCCUUUGCUCGAAUAUGUUAGCAUGGAAUAAUAAAACAGGAC
rnacentral:rRNA from 1 species